rnacentral:tRNA from 1 species
CUGGGCCGCGGGUGGCUGGAAGGCCGGCGCGGCGGCGGGCGGCGGCGGGGCGCCGGCGGCGGGUGCGGCCGGGGUCGCCGCCUGGGGCCCGGA